UUAUUGAACUCUCUGAUAUCUUUGUUCAACAGGAGCACCUGGACAAAAAGGAGAGCCAGGAGAGCGAGGACCACCUGGUUCCCAGGGACCACCUGGCCUUCCUGGACCUGUUGGUCCCCCUGGGAAGAUGGGAGAAGUGGGUGAGGCGGGGACACCUGGACGAACAGGUGCGAUGGGACCUCGAGGACCCCCAGGUCCAAGGGGAUUCCCAGGAGAGACGGGACUGCCCGGCCCACCAGGUAUCCCAAGCUUCACUCAUGAUGUCCAACACAGCUUGGGUUAUCCAGGAAGAGAGCCCAGUAGGUCCUAUGCCAGUUC